GUGAGUCAUCGAAUCUUUGAACGCACAUUGCGCCUCUCGGUAUUCCGGGAGGCACGCCUGUUCGAGCGCCAUUACACACUCCAAGCGAAGCUUGAUGUUGGACGCUGCGGUUCCUCUUGGGAUCGCACGUCUGGAACGUGUGGGCGCCCAUCGCCGGACCACGAGCGUAGCAAGACAUUCGUCAAUUUCGCUCUGUGGACUUCCGACGGAGGGCGGCCUCGAACUUUUUUCUGUUUCAGAAGUUUGGCCUCGGAUCAGGCGGGGAUACCCGCUGAACUUAAGCAUAUCAAUAAGCGGAGGA
rnacentral:misc_RNA from 1 species